rnacentral:misc_RNA from 1 species
GAUGAAGAACGUAGCGAAAUGCGAUAAGUAAUGUGAAUUGCAGAAUUCAGUGAAUCAUCGAAUCUUUGAACGCACCUUGCGCUCCUUGGUAUUCCGAGGAGCAUGCCUGUUUGAGUGUCAUGAAAUUCUCAACCUUUUCAGCUUUCUUUGUUGAUCAGGCUUGGAUGUGGGAGUAUGCGGGCUUCUCAGAAGUCGGCUCUCCUGAAAUGCAUUAGCGGGACCUUUGUUGCCUGGCUUUGGUGUGAUAAUUAUCUACGCCAUUGUAGUCAAGCAGCUUAAAAUGAGGUUUCAGCUUCUAACCGUCUCCCCUGAGACAACUUUUUGACAAUUUGACCUCAAAUCAGGUAGGACUAACCGCUGAACUUAAGCAUAUCAAUAAGCGGAGGA